AGGCAGCCCUUAAGGCAACCCUUGCACUAACUUUAAGUUAAAACAACAAAUAUUUUUUUUACAGUGUGUAAACUUCGGACGUGAGAGAUUGCAGCCCUGCAAGGACUAGGCUACUGCAAAGAGGCGAAGUAUAGACCUACUGUAGGCUAUCAUCAUGGAAAGAAGCAAGAAGGAGAUUAUGUCCUUUUUUGUCCCUGUUGGCAAAAAGCAACAUAGAGAGAGUAAGGAAGAUGAAGAUUAUGAAAGAGGAGAGAGAGCCAGAGGUGGAGAGAGAGCCAGAGGUGGUGGUUGGAGAGGUGGAAAGUGAGGCAUCUGAAAGGCAAUCUGAGAGUGAGGAUGAAGACAUUCAGGAUCAGAUUGAGGGACAGAAUGAGGGACAACCCAACGAGUCAUUGGGACAACCAGAUUCACCAUGCAUAUCAAGUACAGCACCAUCAGAUAUCAGAAAGUGCUUGGACGACACUCCAGUGCAGCCACAUCUGAAGAAAAGGUUCAUUGUAUGCAAAAAUAGAAAUCUUAUUUUACAAAAAAGAGAAACAUGGUUUUAAGAUUUAUUGAGCACAAUUUAUUUUAUGUUUAGGCUAUU